rnacentral:lncRNA from 1 species
AUUGCAUCCAGGGACAGUCUUGUUGCGGAGACGCACGAUAAGCAUCUUCUAGUCAUAUACCAUGUGGAGGGGCACCUCUUGACCCUGUGGCCCAACCGGCCCAACUGGAGCCAACCACUCUGGGUCAGUGUUCACCAUCACACAUGCCUCACAUGCAUUUUCUAGGCAGGCUGACGAUUUCCAUAAUUCAAGCCGAUGUAGAGCUCCUCUAAAAUGAUCUGCCAAUUCGGCCAUCCCUUCCCGGGGCUUCUUGGCCAACCAUAGCUCCUUGAUCAUGCUCUUGAUCGCCUUUCGUCC